AGCAACAGAAGAAGACGUUUGUUUACCUUGGUGCUUGGGGAAGCGGUGUAUAGAUCGCUACUUUUGUUCAAACUGGAGUUAAUUACAUUUAUUGGAAUCUGGUUUCUGCUAUUUGAUUGUACAGCACUUUGGUCAACUGUUGUUGAUUUUAAAUAUGCUUUAUAGAUCAAUUUGACUUGUUUAUACAAAUAUUAUAAGCAAUAAUGCAGAUAAAUACUUCAUUAUUACUUCACCUCAUGUCACUUGAUAUUUUUCCUUUUAGCAGAUGAGCAAGUUGAUUGCAGGCCCUUCAAUGAGAUGCCACAAGAUGGAAGAAAUGUAGCACCUUCACACAGCAUGGGAGAACACUACAGUAUAUAUAAUGAUCCACUGUAUGAAAGCCAGAGUGCCUUUAAUGGCCCAUCAGAGGGACAGUUCCUAGGUUCGCUCACAUAUGGUCAGAGAAUGGAAUCUCCUAAAUCAAGGCAGAAAAUAAAAGGCA